UACGGAGGGUGCAGGCGUUGUCCGGAUUUAUUGGGUUUAAAGGGUGCGUAGGCGGCCCGUUAAGUCAGUGGUGAAAGCCUCCAGCUCAACUGGAGAACUGCCAUUGAUACUGACGGGCUUGAGUACAGACGAGGUUGGCGGAAUUGAUUGUGUAGCGGUGAAAUGCAUAGAUACAAUCAAGAACACCGAUUGCGUAGGCAGCUAACUAGGCUGUAACUGACGCUGAGGCACGAAAGCGUGGGGAGCGAACAGG
rnacentral:rRNA from 1 species